CUCGCUUCUCGGCCUUUUGGCUAAUAUCAAGUGUAGUAUCUGUUCUUAUCAGUUUCAUGCCGGUGUGGGGCAGGUUGGGAUGGGUGCUGCAUGGAGGGGGCAGGUGUACCGGGGUGUUCCGGGGCUGGUGCCACAACACCAGCUCAAUGGCUGUCCUGAUGUGACCUGUGUCCUCUGGGUCUCGCCAU